ACCGGCGAACGGGUGCGUAACACGUGAGCAACCUGCCUUAGUGUGGGGGAUAGCCGGCCCAACGGCCGGGUAAUACCGCAUACGAUUCUUUGGGGGAGUCCCCAGGGAAGGAAACCUCCGGGGCACUGAGAGGGGCUCGCGGCCUAUCAGCUAGUUGGCGGGGUAGUGGCCCACCAAGGCGACGACGGGUAGCUGGUCUGAGAGGAUGGCCAGCCACAUUGGGACUGAGAGACGGCCCAGACUCCUACGGGAGGCAGCAGUGGGGAAUCUUGCGCAAUGGCCGAAAGGCUGACGCAGCGACGCCGCGUGUGGGAGGACGCCCUUCGGGGUGUAAACCACUGUUGCCCGGGACGAAUUCGCUUUUUCGAGAGCGUUGACGGUACCGGGUGAGGAAGCACCGGCUAACUCCGUGCCAGCAGCCGCGGUAAUACGGAGGGUGCGAGCGUUGUCCGGAAUCACUGGGCGUAAAGGGCGCGUAGGCGGCGCGAGAAGUCAACGGUGAAAGCCCGGGGCUCAACCCCGGGUCGGCCGUCGAUACUCUUGGGCUUGAGCACUGUAGAGGCAGGUGGAAUUCCGGGUGUAGCGGUGGAAUGCGUAGAGAUCCGGAAGAACACCGGUGGCGAAGGCGGCCUGCUGGGCAGUGGCUGACGCUGAGGCGCGACAGCGUGGGGAGCAAACAGGAUUAGAUACCCUGGUAGUCCACGCCGU
rnacentral:rRNA from 1 species